rnacentral:rRNA from 1 species
GACGAACGCUGGCGGCGUGCCUAAUACAUGCAAGUUGAGCGCUGAAGGUUGGUACUUGUACCACCUGGAUGAGCAGCGAACGGGUGAGUAACGCGUGGGGAAUCUGCCUUUGAGCGGGGGACAACAUUUGGAAACGAAUGCUAAUACCGCAUAAAAACUUUAAACACAAGUUUUAAGUUUGAAAGAUGCAAUUGCAUCACUCAAAGAUGAUCCCGCGUUGUAUUAGCUAGGUGGUGAGGUAAAGGCUCACCAAGGCGAUGAUACAUAGCCGACCUGAGAGGGUGAUCCGCCACAUUGGGACUGAGACACGGCCCAAACCCCUACGGGAGGCAGCAGUAGGGAAUCUUCGGCAAUGGACGAAAGUCUGACCGGGCAACGCCGCGUGAGUGAAGAAGGUUUUCGGAUCGUAAAACUCUGUUGGUAGAGAAGAACGUUGGUGGGAGUGGAAAGCUCAUCAAGUGACGGUAACUACCCAGAAAGGGACGGCUAACUACGUG